rnacentral:rRNA from 1 species
UACAGAGGUCCCAAGCGUUGUUCGGAUUCACUGGGCGUAAAGGGUGCGUAGGCGGUCGGGUAAGUCUGAUGUGAAAUCUCACAGCUUAACUGUGAAACUGCAUUGGAUACUAUUCGGCUUGAGAGUUGGAGGGGGGACUGGAAUUCUUGGUGUAGCAGUGAAAUGCGUAGAUAUCAAGAGGAACACCGAUGGCGAAGGCAGGUCUCUGGGCUGUAACUGACGCUGAGGAGCGAAAGCAUGGGGAGCGAACAGG